CCUUUACCAGUUUGGCUUCCAUCCUAUUCCCCGGAACAGGAGCGGUCAAACGGGAGGGUGGGGGGCGGGGUGGCAAUUUAUCAGGACUUGCUUCUUUUUGCUUUCCACAGAAAUUGCAUUUUAGUUCCUGACUAAUGAUUUCUCCUGUUCUUAAAGCCAAGGGAAAGGUCGGAUGCAAAACACUCGAGUUUUAAGAAAUUUUAAGCUAUUCUUAGAACAAGCUUCACCUUGCUUUCCUUCUGUAGGGCAAACCCCUGCCCCUGCGCGCCUCGGUGGUCCUGCUGAGGGUUUUCUACCUCACCCUGUGCAUAUUGCACAGCAAGACAGAAAGACUUGUUUAUAUUAAACAGCUUAUUUAUGUAUCAAUAUUAGUUGGAAGGACCAGGCGCUGAGCCUCUCUCUGUGACAUGUGACUCUGUCAUUUGAAGACAGGACAGGGAAAAAAAAAGGAAACAGUUCAGAUUACUGCACAUGUGCGUAUAAACAAAAACAAAACACACUAAACAGGAGUGGUUCCACAUGCCAUUUUUGCACAGUGUUAGGAAUUGUAAAGUCCACAGAUGUUACUUGCACAAAAGAAAUUAAAUAUUUUUAAAGGGGUAGGAAGGGGGGAGAUCUUAAAAACUAAAAUAAAAUUCAAACUCAGCUUCUGUUGUCUAUUAUGUUAUUGAGCUAAUGAUUUAUUGGGAAAAUACCUUUUUAUACUCUUAUCAUGGUACUGUAACUAUCCAUAUUAUAAGUAUAAUUAUCUUAUGGAUUUUUUAUUAUUUUUUUAUGUCCAAGUGCCCAUGUGAAUCUGCUGGUAAAGCUUAGCACUUGUGUGUAAAUUCUAUUUCCUCUUGUAUGUUUUACCAAGUAUUUUUACUCUGGUGCAACUAACUACUGUGUGAGGAAUUGGUCCAUGUGCAAUAAAUACCAAUGAAGCACAAUCAAGAUUACGUACCCUUGUGUCUGUAAAGUGUCAGUGAAAAUGAAAAAGACAGUUUGUCUUUUCAUUAGACUGCAUUUCUCCUAGAGCUCUUUUAAUAGCUUUUCAUGACUCAGUAACUUAGCAAAAUGCCUCUAGACCAAAUACGAUGUUCACCUACAGAGAGCUGCAGAUUUGCCCUAAAUUUUCACAGCCGGAUUCAAGGUAUUCCAGACUACUUGUAGGCGCUUUUCAAGAUUCCAUCUGCUGCACUUGACUUAUGAAGUGACAUUUGGGAAAUGUGUCUACUGGGGGCGAAAAGCCUCGGAGCCAGGUAACUCAGCUGCAGUGUUGCUCAGAAACACAGGAAGGAAGACAAACUCAUUGAACAGUCGGCCAACUGAAAUUCGUUGCAGGAGCUGACCUAGAAAAAUGCACCCUUACCAAGCAGAUUUCUAAGUGCAUAAGGCCAAGGGUCAUGCCCCCUGUGGAGAACUGUCCAAGUCCAGGAAUUGAAAAAAUAGGAUACUAGUUCAAGAAUGAUGCAUAAGUCAAAUGGAGAAGGCAUUGAAGCAAUAGCUAAUUUUUUGUGUUUCUUUUGUUUUGUUUUGUUUUUGGUACCCGGUAUCCAACUCUGGUCCUGCGCUUGCGCAGCAGGGGGCGAAACCAGUGAGCUAAAUCCCCGGCCCUUUUGUGUUUCUUAUUUUACUUAGCACUUCACUGACUGUUCUGUGUCGCUUUACUUGACCCAAGAGAACACUGAGAUAAAGACUAGGUUACCACAUUUUGCCGAUUAGGAAACUGAGGCUUAGGGGGAUCAAGUGACUUGAAG
ensembl:lncRNA